rnacentral:rRNA from 1 species
AUAGGAUUCCCUUAGUAAUGGCGAACGAACAGGGAUGAGCUCGGCUUGGAAACUGGGGCUUCGGCCUUGGAUUGUAGCCUCUAGACAUAGUACCAACGGAGGCGCAGGUGUAAGCCUCUUGGAAAAGAGCAUCAACGUGGGUGAGAAUC